rnacentral:lncRNA from 12 species
UGUAAAUUCUCCUUACCCAUGGAGUGAACUAAUUUUUGCUCUUCAACCAAGAUUUGGAACUUCACAUAGAUGUGUUUGAACAUAAAAUUUUAAAGCCAUUGUUGCCCUGGCUACGUGCUUCAGACACCAACUCCCCCACCCCCCCAUCGACCACCUGGUUAGUUUUCUGAGAGUUUCUGCGGGAAAGGUUUACAAUGGCUGGUUCCUGGUUUGAUGUCAUAUCGAUAAAUUAUGGUGCUUUAAACAGAUGUGAUCUCACAGCAUGGAAUCCUUCAGGGUAAAGCUCGUGAAAAGGUUUCUUUCCCCUCUUGGUUUCAUUGUAGUUUUGUUGUUUGGAGGUUUUAUGUUGUUCAUUUAGUUUCCUGGCUAUUGGGGUUUUAUAGUCGUAUUUCCUUUGUUUAAUAUAAUUUCCUUUUUUCUUUUAGCUAUUUUUGUUAGGGUGCCCAGAGGCUUCAGUUAUGAGUGGCUGUAAAGUAAAAUAUAUUAUGAUUAUUACAAUGAUAAAGUAUAAGCUUUUAAGAGUCUGCUUAUAUUGACCCAUAUAUUCUCUUUCUCCCUCUCUCUCCAACAUACACACAGAGGCACGUUGGGAACACGAUAGAAAACGGCUGCCAAUUCAAAAGCAGGGAAAGAGCAAACCUGCAUAUACAAGGGAGCUGCGAGCUGGACUGGCUCCCAGCAGAAGGCUACUGGGAAACUUCUAAAUAUCGCUGGGUCAGAUACAGCCUGUGGUGAAACAAGAAGACAUUAACCCUGGCCUGUCCACUCAGAUAUUCCUCCCACCAGUGCUCCUGAACUACAUGGACUUUGUGUGUGUGUGCACACAUGAGUGCACAUGCAGAAGCACACAUAUGUUGGAGCAGUGAAAGGUAGGAGAAAAAACACCAGUCUAAAUAGUUUUUUUUUAAUUUACCAUUUUAUUAUAACAUGACAAAGGAUACAGAUAAACAG